AUGACAUGUGACACCGAAGCCAACUAAAUAUCAAAGAAGAUAUGAGUAUCCACCUGCAAAAUUGGAUAGAAUCCAAUUUCAUCUAUUAAGAUACCAAAAUAAUUUCCCUUUCUCACCUUGAAAUGACCUGAGCUAACAGAAGAAAUUUUCCUGCAUUGCUUAUGAGGAUCAUACAUAAAUCAAAAUGACCUGUUUGGAGGUUGCUGACAGUUCAGGCAUGGUGUCGGUGAUUAUGUGGAAUGCCCCAUGUCCUGAGUGGUUUAAAAUUUUGCGAGUUGGUUUAGUUUUUCUGCUUCAGGAUUAUUCUGUUAAAAAGAAUUAUCCAUUUAGAAUACAGCCUGUCCCCAUGGAUCCACAGAUCAAACUAAUUUCUACAAUGAAAAACACAAUAAAAGAUGGUGAGAGGAUGCUAAUUUACAACAUGCCACCUCUGCUAUAUAGAAUUGUAGGACCAGAUUUUCAUCAUGAAAACUCUCUAAG